CAACUUUCAACAAUGGAUCUCUUGGCUCUGGCAUCGAUGAAGAACGCAGCGAAAUGCGAUAAGUAGUGUGAAUUGCAGAAUUCAGUGAAUCAUCGAAUCUUUGAACGCACAUUGCGCCCCUUGGUAUUCCGGGGGGCAUGCCUGUUCGAGCGUCAUC
rnacentral:rRNA from 1 species